rnacentral:rRNA from 1 species
GACGAACGCUGGCGGCGCGCCUAAAACAUGCAAGUCGAACGAGAAGCCCGGGCUUGCCCGGGUGGACAGUGGCGAACGGGUGAGUAACACGUGAGGAACCUGCCCCGAAGACCGGGACAACACCGGGAAACCGGUGCUAAUACCGGAUACCUUCACCGGAUCGCAUGUUCUGGUGAAGAAAUGGAUUCCGCUUCGGGAUGGCCUCGCGGCCUAUCAGCUAGUUGGUGAGGUAACGGCUCACCAAGGCGACGACGGGUAGCUGGUCUGAGAGGAUGUCCAGCCACACUGGGACUGAGACACGGCCCAGACUCCUACGGGAGGCAGCAGUUAGGAAUCUUGCGCAAUGGGCGAAAGCCUGACGCAGCGACGCCGCGUGCGGGAUGAAGGCCUUCGGGUUGUAAACCGCUUUCAGCAGGGACGAAAUUGACGGUACCUGCAGAAGAAGCCCCGGCCAACUACGUGC